GUGGGGAAUCUUCCGCAAUGGACGAAAGUCUGACGGAGCAACGCCGCGUGAGUGAAGAAGGUUUUCGGAUCGUAAAGCUCUUUCGUUAGGGACGAACGUGCUCUUUGUGAAUAAUGAUGAGUAAUGACGGUACCUAAAUAAGAAGCCACGGCUAACUACGUGCCAGCAGCCGCGGUAAUACGUAGGUGGCAAGCGUUGUCCGGAAUUAUUGGGCGUAAAGCGCGCGCAGGCGGGAUAUCAAGUCUGUCUUAAAAGUGCGAGGCUCAACCUCGUGAGGGGACAGAAACUGGUAUUCUUGAGUGUCGGAGAGGAAAGUGGAAUUCCAAGUGUAGCGGUGAAAUGCGUAGAGAUUUGGAAGAACACCAGUGGCGAAGGCGACUUUCUGGACGAUGUCUGACGCUGAGGCGCGAAAGCUAGGGGAGCGAACGGGAUUAGAUACCCCUGUAGUCC
rnacentral:rRNA from 1 species